UACGUAGGUGGCAAGCGUUGUCCGGAUUUACUGGGCGUAAAGAGCGCGCAGGCGGUCGGAUUAGUCGCGUGUGAAAGCCCCCGGCUCAACUGGGGAGGGUCACGCGAUACUGUUCGACUCGAAGGCAGGAGAGGGAAGUGGAAUUCCCGGUGUAGUGGUGAAAUGCGUAGAUAUCAGGAGGAAUACCGAUGGCGAAGGCAGGUCUCUGGGCUGACACUGACGCUCAUGCACGAAAGCGUGGGGAGCAAACAGG
rnacentral:rRNA from 1 species